GACGAACGCUGGCGGCGUGCUUAACACAUGCAAGUCGAGCGGUAAGGCCCUUUCGGGGGUACACGAGCGGCGAACGGGUGAGUAACACGUGGGUGACCUGCCCUCAGCUCUGGGAUAAGCCUGGGAAACCGGGUCUAAUACUGGAUAUGACUCCAUGACGCAUGUUGUGGGGUGGAAAGCCUUGUGCGGCUGAGGAUGGGCCCGCGGCCUAUCAGCUUGUUGGUGGGGUA
rnacentral:rRNA from 1 species